GGAAAUGGAUGGCUUGGAUGAGUCUUUGGAUCUGGUCAAGGUAGACUGAAUGGUGAUUGGUUCUCCCUUGCUGGCGCCUGAUUGCUUUACUUAAAGCUCCAUGUAUCUUCCCUCUCCUUUGGCCAGAUACAUGAUCUCUUCUUUGCCUUUACUUUACAGCUCACGCCAGCUUGCACAUUUGAAUUUGAACAAGCUGUAUGGAUAAGGUUUCUUAUCCAUAAACGGUCAAGAGAGCUCAGCACCUUCCUGGUUACUUCCUAAGGCAUCUCGGACAGUAUAUGCCUUUAGGAUCUUUGCUCUCUUGCCCACUUGUUCCCCAAACCUUCUUCAUGCCUUGUAUCACAAGUCUUCAUCAGCUGAGUGUACGGAUUAGGGUUGCUUCUCUCACAUUGCGCCCUAUCUUUGCACAACUCCAAAACAUCCCAAGACUUGAUAGAAACUCUUUUGGAUCAGCCAUGUCCUUCCCGGGCCGUACCAUCCGUACAUGGCCGUACAUGGCUGUCCCUAUCUUUGCACCAUCUACCUUUCUCUCCUUAACUCAUCCAAAGACUACUCCACUUCUAUCUGAACUCUUCUUAGCCAUUGUCCCAACCUUAUAUCAGCUUCUCAUCUCUUCUGAAGCUUCAUAGAACUCUUCUUAAGAUCUUCAAGAGCUUGCCCCUAUUUAUGCACAAGCUCCAUUCUUCUCUUCAGUUCAACAAGCUAUGUCUUCUAGCAUAUAAAGCUCUCCUUUGGUAACUCCCUUGCCAAUCAUUUUCCUUGUAUCAAUAUCCUGAAACUUCACAUCAUUAGGACUAAAGAUAACAUUGCAAUGCAAAUCAGUAGUACAUCUUUUAACAGAUAAUAAAUUAGAUGUGAAUUCAGGCAUAUAAAAUGCUUUAGACUCUUUAUCAAACAGCUUUAGAUAAGCUUGAAUGGAUUGCUUCAUGAUCCUCACACACACACCAUUGCCGCUCCUCUUCUGAUCUUGCCAUCUUCAUGGAAUGCUUGUGGAAGCCUCAGCUAUCUCUCCAAUCACUUCACACUAGAAGCCGCCUUGAUAGAGUUUCCUUCAUCUUCUCACAGCCAGAGUACUCUGUCUUAGUUUGAGUACUCUCUUGAAUAGACUCGCCACAGCCUAAGCCCGGAUGGCUCCUUCUUCAGAUGCUUGCAAUGGACUUCUUGGAUCGCUUGGAAGCUCACUAAACUCCCCUCCUCAAGCUUGGAUUGAGUAUAGGUCCAAGCUUGCAAGUGAGCUUCAGUGACACUUCACACCAGUGGCGCAUCACCACUUCUUUCUCAACUCUCCAUUGCUCCACACAAUGGGCAAAGUCUUCCUCUUUCAACUCGGAUGGAUGGUGAACCAAGAACACCUCUUGUGAACCUGAAACAUCACUCAAACUCCAGCAAAGAUAAGACACAAGUGCAUUGGGUCAACCCUUGAUGCAUCAUCAAGUUUGAACACCAAUGUCUUUAAGCAAUGCAACAGAUUAAACUAGACAUUUUCAAGUUCUAAUCUUUGCAAGCAAACUCUCUAAGCACUAGCAUGAUCCUAACAGAUUCAAUACAAGCUACUUAGGCAAUUUUUAAAGCUUCUUUACUCAGCAUUUAGACAUGAAUCUAAUGCUUCAAUGUAAGACAGCCAUUUGACAGUAUGCACUAACCUUAACCAGUUUUAAUUCAUGAAUGCAACAAAACAAUUCAUCACACAUUCAUUUAUAACUUAGGCUAAGCAUUACUAUCAUCACUUAACAUCAGACAAUGCAUUACUUUCAAUCUGUUUUCAGUUCAUGAGCUUCAAACAAUAUCAUUUCACAUUUAGCAAACUCAUUACUUAACAGGAGCAAGCAUUUUACUCUUUAAACACUAAACAAGCCUUUAAAGCAUCCUGGGACAGAUUCAACUAAUUAUAUUUAGCAAUCACAUUAUCCUCAGGUUUAACAAUCACUACACAUCACAAUACACAACUCAUAUUAUCAUCUACUCAUCAUUAAGAAGGUUUUAAGAAUCGUUUACCACAAGGAACCAGAUUGGUUCCUUAACCUUUCAUGAAACCGGCCAUGCUUUGUUGGACUUGAGAGUGUGGAUCGUCACCCACCUCCUUCACCUUCAGUUCAUGGCCUCCAUCUUGUACCAUCAGCUUCAAAGACCCCUCCUUUCUUCAUCUCCACUAGGCGCCAAGCUCUUGACACCAUCUUCUUUGGAACCGGAUGUGUUCUUCUCUUGGACAAGGAGCCUUGGUACAAGGAUAGCUAGGCCUUGUCCAUACACCUCUGCUUCCAAGGAGAAUCACCAUCAGGACAGGAAGAGAACAGGAUGAGGAACCAUGAGAACUCGCCAAGCUUCAGUCUUCUUCUUCAUAAGGAGCUGAACCGGAUGGAGAGAGCUUCAAUGGUUUGGAUUUGAGCUGAGGAGAGAGCAGUGUGUUUGCGGAAGCUUCAGCUCAGGUUCUGAUGAACCUGGCUCUGAUACCAUAUGAGAUUUGAGAGCUCUGGCUGUGUAUGUGUAUGAGAAGCCAUUAGAGGCAAAGAAUAAGGUCUUGAACUAGUUGAAUAAGAGGUCUGAUGAAACUAGUAUGAACUUGAAUCAGAAACAAAGAGACUUAGAGAGAUUAAGAGAUUAGAGACUAAGAAAGGGGUAGAUUAAGGGAAUCUGAUCAAGAACACACUUUUAUAUUUAUGAAGGAGAUGGGGAAAACCCCCAUACUCUCUUAAGAGAGCUAGACACGCCCAUAAGGGUCUUUAUAUAGGUUUUACACUCUUGCAAACGAGCUUACAAAACGUCCAUACAUCAGUUUAUAUAUGUUUUCACACUCUGAAACUCAUAAACCUAAAUCUGAUGGCUCUAAAUGACUUUGGGAAAUGAAUGGCUUGGAUGUAGCUUUGGAUCUGGUCAAGGAAGGCUGAAUGGUGAUUGGUUCUUGCUUGCUGGCGCCUGAUUGCUUUUCUUAAAGCUCCAUGUAUCUUCCCUCUCCUUUGGCCAGAUACAUGACUUCUUCUUUGCCUUUACUUUACAGCUCAUGCCAGCUUGCUUAUUUGAAUUUGAACAAGCUGUAUGGAUAAGGUUUCUUAUCCAUAAACGGUCAAGAGAGCUCAGCACCUUCCUGGUUACUUCCUAAAGCAUCUCGGACAGCAUAUGCCUUUAGGAUCUUUGCUCUCUUGCCCUAAGCCUUCUUCAUGCCUUGUAUCACAAGUCUUCAUCAGCUGAGUGUACGGAUUAGGGUUGCUUCUCUCACAUUGCGCCCUAUCUUUGCACAACUCCAAAACCUCCCAAGACUUGAUAGAAACUCUUUUGGAUCAGCCAUGUCCUUCCCGGGCCGUACCAUCCGUACAUGGCCGUACAUGGCUGUCCCUAUCUUUGCACCAUCUACCUUUCUCUCCUUAACUCAUCCAAAGACUACUCCACUUCUAUCUGAACUCUUCUUAGCCAUUGUCCCAACCUUAUAUCAGCUUCUCAUCACUUCUGAAGCUUCAUAGAACUCUUCUUAAGAUCUUCAAGAGCUUGUCCCUAUUUAUGCAC
rnacentral:lncRNA from 1 species